UGUGUGUGUGUGUGUGUGUGGUGUGUGUUUGUGUGUAUGUGUGUGUGUGUGUUUGCGUGACUGUACUGCGAGACAGGACCGGCCGUUACGUCCAGGUAAUUCAUCACGUGAUCUGUCGUCUUGUUGCAGUUAACGAUCGUUAUCGUGUGACGUAAUCACGUGAAGGCCAUCUUGAAUGACGUCAGAGAGCUUCUGAACUGUUCUGCUGGUACCUGGAGCGGAUGCUGACCCUCGUUCUCUCUGUUGACCCACACAACACCUCGACUAAGGUCUGUGGAGCGCCGUCCACCCGUCAGACGACUCGCACCAUCUCCCAGCUUCUCGUGUCAGCCGCGGCAAAGCUCGCCAAGCAAACAAACAAACAACAUGUACGGGAGAUCAGGGUGCUAAACACUGGCCACUGACAGGAUUUCCCCUUAACACUAGUUCCACGGAGAGAGAAUUUGUUAUACACAGACUGGUGUGUAUGUCUGUGUGUGUGUGUGUGCGUUAGUGUGUAUGUCUGUUUGUGCAUUAUUCUGUGUGUAUGUGAUUGGGCGCUUGUGUUACUAUACUAGUAACCUUUUGUGUUCAUCUGUCUGCCGGUAAUAUCAAAUCGCUUGUGUAUAUUCAUGUUCUUUGCCGUGAGUCAAUACAGUAUGUAUCUGACAUGUCGCGUGGAGUAUUCAGUGAGUUUACAUAUAUAUAUAUGUAUAUGUAAUUAUGUACAUCUGCUACAUUUUUCUCUUUCCUUCUGUUUGACUCUCAGCAUGCCAAGCGUGGCCGGGGGCCAUGUAUAUCUUUACUUUCCAUCUUGACAAGUCGUUAGGUGUCUUUUGACAAUCGGCUUCCAAGAAUAUCGUCCCUUAGCCAAAACGAAGAAAUCGUGAUCCCGUCUUGACCUUUGGCCUUGUAGCGUGAGGUGAAAGGUCAGAGUAGCGUGAAGAAUGCUGGAGAGGAAAGUGUCACCUUUGUGCCAUGUUGUCUUGAAAUCUAUGCAAAUGUUGUGUGGUGGUCUGUGCCCACGUGUCCUGCUGUACUCGUGCAUCAACUUCUACUUGCUGCUGGAGCUGGUCACAGACCUUGCUCGCUCGCUAAGCCCUCGUCCUCGUCCUCGUCCGUCAACAUGUCUUUUGUCUUGUGAAGCCCCCACACCUUCCCGAGCAUCCACCCCUCCACCCGCAAGCCCCCUUGUGACUUUCUCAAAGUCCUUCUUCUUCGUGUCAUCAGGGCGAGUUGUCUGUUCACAAGCCUGAAGAAGUUUUUCUGCACCUACUUGUCUGUCCUGUCCUACCCCUGUCCUACCCGUAGUCCCCACCCACUCGUACAUCUGCUUCAUCGUGUCACUUGUUCUUUCUUCAGAUGACUUUCUUUCUCUCUCUCACUCCGGUGUGAAUGUGAGGAGCUGUAGCUGGAAGACUGAAGUAGGGGCCAGACCCUAACUGGGGCUGCAUCCCACAAUAAUGGUUUUGUGAGAAUGAUGUCGCAGGAUCGUUUCUGUCUGUCGAGAGUCAUCUUCGUUUUCUCAGUUUCGCAGAACAAGGAAAGACAACUUGGAUAGAAAUACACCGCGAGCACAUGUAGUACACAUACACACGGAUACAAAGCUUGUACAACACUGCUAAGACCUUAGUACAACAGUGAAAUAUACACACAUACAAGCGUGUGACUACCUUAACAUCUCAGCACCACCCGGUUGUUACAGAUGUGAAUGUAGUUGUGGGUAGCGUGAGUUUCAGUUUAUACAAACAUUCUUGGCAUAGCUAUGGUAGCACAUCAUACACACACUGACAUGACUGCCCGCAGUACACAGUAGCUGACAAUUGUUCUAAUGUGCUGUACUUUCAAUAAAUGAGUUUGUAAA